rnacentral:hammerhead_ribozyme from 1 species
AUCGAGCUGACGAGUCCCAAAUAGGACGAAACGUGCGUACUAGCU